rnacentral:ncRNA from 1 species
AGCAAAGCGUCGAGGAAAACAGUAGGCUAUUCAGCGAUUUAUUCCCAGUGAGUCAUGUAAGUGAGAAAUGACAAUAAAUCGAAUAGACGAACAUCAUUUCCGAGUCAAUGUCGAAAACGUAGAUCAUUGUGGCUGCCUCCAUUAUCAGGCUAGCGGAUAACUUUAUCGAAAAGCGUCCGUGAAUGAAGAAGCUUUUUUAAGCGAAAAAAGGUGGUACCGUUCUAGAAUCUAGAGCCCUUUUC